AACCCAAGAGAGGCAUUUAUAUUUAUUUCUUUUGCGUUCAUUUUCAAAUUCGCCGUGCAUAUAUUUUUGUGCAUGGCGCUUGAGAGGGCAUCACGUGACUAAAAACGACCAACCAACGACCUCGCUUCGGCCAUCUUGGCAUCUUCAUCUUGGCCACCUUGCUUUGCCGUGGGUGGAUCGUUGUUUCUAUUAUUUGUGCUUUUUAAGAAUAUUUUUUUAAUUCGGAUACUUUUAUAAUAGCUUUAAUAGUAUUAUUAACAUAGUGAAUAAAAUGGUGUCCUGUUUUUAACGCAGUUGGAGUAGCAGAAACAAAUGUAGAUAAAAAAAUCUGCAGGAAUAACGUUUCAAUUAUGACAGAAGCUCCAAACAAAUGACUGAAUGAAAAGCCCUAUUAAAAGCUUUCCAGAAGAUCCUGCGAAGAAGACAUGAAGUAUAGAUCAGAUUUGUUAAUAGAGGAGUAUGUUCAAAACACUUUUUAGAAAAAGAUAUUGACAGAACUUCACUUUCAUCUGUUCGUUUAAGAGACUGUGCUGUUCCAAUAGCUUAUGUCACACAGAAUCAGCUGAGAGAAGUGGUCUACAAAAAACCAGAAAGGAAACAGAAUAUGUGGCUACGAAAAGCAAAAGAAAGGUUUACAAAGCAAAUGUGACACAUUUUUUUAUAAUAUUUAGGAAUGUCAGUAAAUUACAUUAAAAAAUGUAUGUAAAGAUUUUUUGCAAUAAAAAUGUUUAUAUUUA